AUGCAAGAAUGUUUGCUUUGGACGUGUUGGAUGGGCGUGGUAAGAACGAGGGCUUCUCCUCAGUCUCCUGGCUGUCCAUCAUCCAGUGCCACAUCUCCCCCAACAACGAGGUCACUGGCCAUUUAUAAAGUCUGCCCCACUGCAGAGUCCAUCGGGAAUCAACAGACGGAGACUCAGGGCAUCUCUACAGCACACAGGAGAAAUCCAGGGACAUCACUCAAGAUGCUGAAGGUCUCCUGCCUCUUCGUUCUCCUCUGUGGGCUCCUUGUCCCGUCCUCUGCUCAACAGAUCCCACCUGAAGUUUCUUCCCAGAUCACCGAUGGUGAGACUGUCCUACCUUUGGGUCAUGCUUGACCUUGCCAGACACAUAGGCCUCUCCUAGAAGUCCAGGCUGUGAGCCAAUGUGGGUUAAGUUCUUGUUAGCAUAAUGCCUGGGACACAGUUAACACCAUUAAUCAUUAGCUGUUCUGAUCAUCGAUACCUUAAUAUAUUUAAUCCACUUCUCCCAAGAUGCCCUUCUUUCCUGUCCCUUUGCUCUGCUUCAUCUAUUAAGACCCACCACCAAAGGACACAACCCUACCUGGAUUGGCCCCUGCUCACCUCUCCGACCACCCCACCCUCACUCACUGCCCUCCUGCUGCAGUAACCUCCUCAACACAUUAAGCACACCCCAGGACCUUUGCACUUGCUAUUCCCUCUGCCUGAAACACUCUUCCUUUAACUAUCAACAUGGCUCCUUCCCUUCCUUCAGGUCUCUGCUAAAAUGUCCCAUCUGUGGAAAGACAAUCCUUGCCCUCCCUGCAUAAAUUAGCACCCUCACCCAGUACUCUCAGUCCCUCACUCUGCCUUUUAAUGUUCCCUCAUAGAUGGAAAUAGCAUGCAGCAGAAAGUACCAGUAUGGCCGUGGUGAUUAAAAUAGUGAAGAUUGUUUUCUAUAUUCCUUGGGAAAUAGCCCCUGCACAGAGACACUCCAGGUUGCUCCCCCUCAUCACCCCAACCACCCCAGCUUCACCCCCAGGACUCCAGACUCCUCACCAACCAAAAUCCAAAGAGUUAACACCUGGCAUAGCCCAGGAGCCCCAGGACCAGGCUACAGAGCUAUGGCUGAUGUCCUUUCUGAUCUGUCAGUGUGCAGGCCGAGCUAGUUGCUGACUGUUUUGAAGCCAGCCUAUCUCCUGAACGGAUCUCCUCGUGUCCCUUUACUCAAUGCCUUAUCGUCAGUCUCUCCUCAUCCUCACUAGGAUGCCAGCUCCACGAGGGCAGAGAGCUCUGCCUGUUCUUGCUGGUGCAGCCCAUCCCCUGGCACGGCCCUGGCACAUAGUGGGCCCCUGUGAAUCUUUGCCAAAUGAUUGUG
rnacentral:lncRNA from 1 species